rnacentral:rRNA from 1 species
CGUCGUGAGACAGUUCGGUCUCUAUCUAUCGUGGGCGCAUGAAAUUUGCGUGGCUCUGACACUAGUACGAGAGGACCGUGUUGGACUGACCUCUGGUUUGCCGGUUGUGCCGCCAGGUGCAUCGCCGGGUAUCCAAGUCGGGAUCGGAUAAGCGCUGAAAGCAUCUAAGUGCGAAGCCGGCCACAAGAUUAGAUUUCUUUAGGGUCGUCAAAGACGAUGACGUUGAUAGGACGCAGGUGUAAAGACGGUGACGUCAAAGCCGAGCGUUACUAAUUGCCCGUCCGCUUUAUUCC